UACGUAGGGUGCAAGCGUUGUCCGGAAUUAUUGGGCGUAAAGAGCGUGUAGGCGGCCCGAUAAGUCCGCUGUGAAAGUCCAGGGCUCAACCCUGGGAUGCCGGUGGAUACUGUCGGGCUCGAGUCCGGAAGAGGAGUGUGGAAUUCCUGGUGUAGCGGUGAAAUGCGCAGAUAUCAGGAGGAACACCCAUUGCGAAGGCAGCUCGCUGGGACGUUACUGACGCUGAGACGCGAAAGCGUGGGGAGCAAACAGG
rnacentral:rRNA from 1 species